rnacentral:rRNA from 1 species
UUCGCCCUUAGAGUUUGAUCCUGGCUCAGGACGAACGCUGGCGGCGUGCUUAACACAUGCAAGUCGAGCGGGGAUGUAGGAAGUGCAUGCACAGAAUACAUUCUAGCGGCGGACGGGUGAGUAACGCGUGAGCAAUCUGUCCCAGACAGGGGGAUAACAGAUGGAAACAUCUGCUAAUACCGCAUAAGACCACAACGUCACAUGGCGAAGGGGUAAAAGGAGGAAUCCGGUUUGGGGUGAGCUCGCGUCCGAUUAGCUAGUUGGCGAGGUAAGGGCCCACCAAGGCGACGAUCGGUAGCCGACCUGAGAGGGUGAUCGGCCACACUGGAACUGAGAGACGGUCCAGACUCCUACGGGAGGCAGCAGUGGGGAAUAUUGGGCAAUGGGCGAAAGCCUGACCCAGCAACGCCGCGUGAGGGAAGAAGGUUUUCGGAUUGUAAACCUCUGUCCUUGGUGACGAAGGAAGUGACGGUAGCCAAGGAGGAAGCCCCGGCUAACUACGUGCCAGCAGCCGCGGUAAUACGUAGGGGGCGAGCGUUGUCCGGAAUGACUGGGCGUAAAGGGCGUGUAGGCGGCCGAUUAAGUCUGGAGUGAAAGUCCUGCUUUCAAGGUGGGAACUGCUUUGGAGACUGGUUGGCUUGAGUGCGGAAGAGGUAAGUGGAAUUCCCAGUGUAGCGGUGAAAUGCGUAGAGAUUGGGAAGAACACCAGUGGCGAAGGCGACUUACUGGGCCGUAACUGACGCUGAGGCGCGAAAGCGUGGGGAGCGAACAGGAUUAGAUACCCUGGUAGUCCACACCGUAAACGAUGAUUACUAGGUGUUGGAGGAUUGACCCCUUCAGUGCCGCAGUUAACACAAUAAGUAAUCCACCUGGGGAGUACGACCGCAAGGUUGAAACUCAAAGGAAUUGACGGGGGCCCGCACAAGCAGUGGAGUAUGUGGUUUAAUUCGACGCAACGCGAAGAACCUUACCAAGUCUUGACAUCCUGCGACGAUGCUGGAAACAGUAUUUUCCUUCGGGACGCAGAGACAGGUGGUGCAUGGUUGUCGUCAGCUCGUGUCGUGAGAUGUUGGGUUAAGUCCCGCAACGAGCGCAACCCCUGCCAUUAGUUGCUACGCAAGAGCACUCUAAUGGGACCGCUACCGACAAGGUGGAGGAAGGUGGGGACGACGUCAAAUCAUCAUGCCCCUUAUGACCUGGGCUACACACGUAAUACAAUGGUCAUUAACAGAGGGAAGCAAAGCCGCGAGGCAGAGCAAAACCCCAAAAAUGAUCUCAGUUCGGAUCGCAGGCUGCAACCCGCCUGCGUGAAGUUGGAAUUGCUAGUAAUCGCAGAUCAGCAUGCUGCGGUGAAUACGUUCCCGGGUCUUGUACACACCGCCCGUCA